UACGGGGGAGCAAGCGUUGUUCGGAUUUACUGGGCGUAAAGGGCGCGUAGGCGGCCAUUCAAGUCGGAGGUGAAAGCCCAGGGCUCAACCCUGGAAUUGCCUUCGAUACUGUUUGGCUAGAGACCGGAAGAGGUAAGUGGAACUGCGAGUGUAGAGGUGAAAUUCGUAGAUAUUCGCAAGAACACCAGUGGCGAAGGCGGCUUACUGGUCCGGUUCUGACGCUGAGGCGCGAAAGCGUGGGGAGCAAACAGG
rnacentral:rRNA from 1 species